rnacentral:rRNA from 1 species
UGCAGUCGAGCGGACAGAAGGGAGCUUGCUCCCGGAUGUUAGCGGCGGACGGGUGAGUAACACGUGGGUAACCUGCCUGUAAGACUGGGAUAACUCCGGGAAACCGGAGCUAAUACCGGAUAGUUCCUUGAACCGCAUGGUUCAAGGAUGAAAGACGGUUUCGGCUGUCACUUACAGAUGGACCCGCGGCGCAUUAGCUAGUUGGUGGGGUAAUGGCUCACCAAGGCGACGAUGCGUAGCCGACCUGAGAGGGUGAUCGGCCACACUGGGACUGAGACACGGCCCAGACUCCUACGGGAGGCAGCAGUAGGGAAUCUUCCGCAAUGGACGAAAGUCUGACGGAGCAACGCCGCGUGAGUGAUGAAGGUUUUCGGAUCGUAAAGCUCUGUUGUUAGGGAAGAACAAGUGCGAGAGUAACUGCUCGCACCUUGACGGUACCUAACCAGAAAGCCACGGCUAACUACGUGCCAGCAGCCGCGGUAAUACGUAGGUGGCAAGCGUUGUCCGGAAUUAUUGGGCGUAAAGGGCUCGCAGGCGGUUUCUUAAGUCUGAUGUGAAAGCCCCCGGCUCAACCGGGGAGGGUCAUUGGAAACUGGGAAACUUGAGUGCAGAAGAGGAGAGUGGAAUUCCACGUGUAGCGGUGAAAUGCGUAGAGAUGUGGAGGAACACCAGUGGCGAAGGCGACUCUCUGGUCUGUAACUGACGCUGAGGAGCGAAAGCGUGGGGAGCGAACAGGAUUAGAUACCCUGGUAGUCCACGCCGUAAACGAUGAGUGCUAAGUGUUAGGGGGUUUCCGCCCCUUAGUGCUGCAGCUAACGCAUUAAGCACUCCGCCUGGGGAGUACGGUCGCAAGACUGAAACUCAAAGGAAUUGACGGGGGCCCGCACAAGCGGUGGAGCAUGUGGUUUAAUUCGAAGCAACGCGAAGAACCUUACCAGGUCUUGACAUCCUCUGACAACCCUAGAGAUAGGGCUUUCCCUUCGGGGACAGAGUGACAGGUGGUGCAUGGUUGUCGUCAGCUCGUGUCGUGAGAUGUUGGGUUAAGUCCCGCAACGAGCGCAACCCUUGAUCUUAGUUGCCAGCAUUCAGUUGGGCACUCUAAGGUGACUGCCGGUGACAAACCGGAGGAAGGUGGGGAUGACGUCAAAUCAUCAUGCCCCUUAUGACCUGGGCUACACACGUGCUACAAUGGACAGAACAAAGGGCUGCAAGACCGCAAGGUUUAGCCAAUCCCAUAAAUCUGUUCUCAGUUCGGAUCGCAGUCUGCAACUCGACUGCGUGAAGCUGGAAUCGCUAGUAAUCGCGGAUCAGC